GAGCAAGAUGAAGGGGAUGCUUCUUCCGUGAAACGUGUCCUCCUCUCCAUGUUGAGGCGCAGCGGCUCACAUGUUCGGCAUUCCACCGCUGGGGAGCGUGCCAGGCUCCCCCGCAGCAGGCUGCUGCAGACGUAAGAAAUAAGAAAGCCCGUUUGAAACAUCGACAGUAGCGUCAGCCAUCCAAGAGGCGAGGUUAAAAUGUCUAUCACGCCGGUGAAGACGCACACCGAGGGAGGUUUUUUUUUUUUCUGAUGCCGUCGUCCAGGAAGAGGAAUGAACUCCUUCAAGCGUGACCUCUCUUCCUGGUGCCGUAACGCGAUUAAAGAACUUUUCCACCUUCUCGACGGUCUUUGCAUCUUGCCGGGUAUCCGAUCGUCUUCUACGAAAGCACCAGAAGGAGACCUCCCGGCCGUAAAUGACUUCCUCCCCGGAUGCUGAGCCUCAUUACCUGCUUGUGUGUGAGACGGCUGCAUCGCUAU